AUUGAACGCUGGUGGCAUGCUUAACACAUGCAAGUUGCACGGCAGCAUGAUCUUGCUUGCAAGAUUGAUGGCGAGUAGCGGACGGGUGAGUAAAGCAUAGGGAUCUACCCUAAAGUGGGGGACAACGGAGGGAAACUUUCGCUAAUACCGCAUAAUACCUGUGGGUUAAAGUCUGCUUAGGCAGGCGCUUUAGGAUGAACCUAUGUCAGAUUAGCUAGAUGGUGGGGUAAAGGCCUACCAUGGCGACGAUCUGUAGCUGUUCUGAGAGGAAGAUCAGCCACACUGGGAACUGAGAUACGGUCCAGACUUCUACGGAAGGCAGCAGUGAGGAAUAUUGGACAAUGGGCGAAAGCCUGAUCCAGCAAUACCGCGUGAGUGAUGAAGGCUUUAGGGUUGUAAAACUCUUUCAGUAGGGAUGAUAAUGACGGUACCUACAGAAGAAGCACCGGCUAACUCCGUGCCAGCCGCCGCGGU
rnacentral:rRNA from 1 species